UGAUGGGGUUAACUUUCCCUGGUCCGUUCCUGGGUGUGGCUUAUCAGGUGCCCUCGUUAUCCAGCUAUAUCUAUCUGCGAGCUGUGGGGCUUGGGGGCAGUCUGUCUUCUGCCUUGCUGGGUGUAGCCCCUUGCUGCUGACCCAGGGGGUUUUAUUUCCAAUCUGCC